rnacentral:rRNA from 1 species
CCUACGGGAGGCAGCAGUGGGGAAUAUUGCACAAUGGGGGAAACCCUGAUGCAGCGACGCCGCGUGAGUGAAGAAGUCAUUCGUUAUGUAAAGCUCUAUCAGUAGGGAAGAAAAUGACGGUACUUGAGUACGUAGCCUCGGCUAACUACGUGCCAGCAGCCGCGGUAAUACGUAGGGGGCACGCGUUAUCCGGAUUUACUGGGUGUAAAGGGAGCGUAGACGGGAGUGCAAGUCUGGAGUGAAAGGCGGGGGCUCAACCCCCGAACUGCACUGGAAACUGGACGGCUGGAGUGCAGGAGAGGGAGGUGGAAUUCCUAGUGUAGCGGUGAAAUGCGUAGAUAUUAGGAGGAACACCAGUGGCGAAGGCGGCUUACUGGACUGUAACUGACGUUGAGGCUCGAAAGCGUGGGGAGCAAACAGGAUUAGAUACCCGUGUAGUC